rnacentral:rRNA from 1 species
UACGGGGGGGGCAAGCGUUGUUCGGAAUUACUGGGCGUAAAGGGCUCGUAGGCGGCCAACUAAGUCAGACGUGAAAUCCCUCGGCUUAACCGGGGAACUGCGUCUGAUACUGGAUGGCUUGAGUUUGGGAGAGGGAUGCGGAAUUCCGAGGUGUAGCGGUGAAAUGCGUAGAUAUCUGGAGGAACACCGGUGGCGAAGGCGGCAUCCUGGACCACACUGACGCUGAGGAGCGAAAGCCAGGGGAG